AUGGACGGCCUGCACAGCGCCGACGCCUGCUUCUCUCUUGGGAGGGCCAUGUCGCCUCAGGUCCGGCCCCCCAUCGGCCCGCCGGACGUAGGCAGCACCCUCUGGAUCGCCAAGCUCUGUUCAGACCAAAAGAUAAGCGCGGAUAUACUGCUGCAGAUUGCCCAAUGA
rnacentral:rRNA from 1 species